rnacentral:rRNA from 1 species
GGUUAAGCGACUAAGCGUACACGGUGGAUGCCCUGGCAGUCAGAGGCGAUGAAGGACGUGCUAAUCUGCGAUAAGCGUCGGUAAGGUGAUAUGAACCGUUAUAACCGGCGAUUUCCGAAUGGGGAAACCCAGUGUGUUUCGACACACUAUCAUUAACUGAAUCCAUAGGUUAAUGAGGCGAACCGGGGGAACUGAAACAUCUAAGUACCCCGAGGAAAAGAAAUCAACCGAGAUUCCCCCAGUAGCGGCGAGCGAACGGGGAGCAGCCCAGAGCCUGAAUCAGUGUGUGUGUUAGUGGAAGCGUCUGGAAAGGCGCGCGAUACAGGGUGACAGCCCCGUACACAAAAAUGCACAUGCUGUGAGCUCGAUGAGUAGGGCGGGACACGUGGUAUCCUGUCUGAAUAUGGGGGGACCAUCCUCCAAGGCUAAAUACUCCUGACUGACCGAUAGUGAACCAGUACCGUGAGGGAAAGGCGAAAAGAACCCCGGCGAGGGGAGUGAAAAAGAACCUGAAACCGUGUACGUACAAGCAGUGGGAGCACGCUUAGGCGUGUGACUGCGUACCUUUUGUAUAAUGGGUCAGCGACUUAUAUUCUGUAGCAAGGUUAACCGAAUAGGGGAGCCGAAGGGAAACCGAGUCUUAACUGGGCGUUAAGUUGCAGGGUAUAGACCCGAAACCCGGUGAUCUAGCCAUGGGCAGGUUGAAGGUUGGGUAACACUAACUGGAGGACCGAACCGACUAAUGUUGAAAAAUUAGCGGAUGACUUGUGGCUGGGGGUGAAAGGCCAAUCAAACCGGGAGAUAGCUGGUUCUCCCCGAAAGCUAUUUAGGUAGCGCCUCGUGAAUUCAUCUCCGGGGGUAGAGCACUGUUUCGGCAAGGGGGUCAUCCCGACUUACCAACCCGAUGCAAACUGCGAAUACCGGAGAAUGUUAUCACGGGAGACACACGGCGGGUGCUAACGUCCGUCGUGAAGAGGGAAACAACCCAGACCGCCAGCUAAGGUCCCAAAGUCAUGGUUAAGUGGGAAACGAUGUGGGAAGGCCCAGACAGCCAGGAUGUUGGCUUAGAAGCAGCCAUCAUUUAAAGAAAGCGUAAUAGCUCACUGGUCGAGUCGGCCUGCGCGGAAGAUGUAACGGGGCUAAACCAUGCACCGAAGCUGCGGCAGCGACGCUGAUGCGUUGUUGGGUAGGGGAGCGUUCUGUAAGCCUGCGAAGGUGUGCUGUGAGGCAUGCUGGAGGUAUCAGAAGUGCGAAUGCUGACAUAAGUAACGAUAAAGCGGGUGAAAAGCCCGCUCGCCGGAAGACCAAGGGUUCCUGUCCAACGUUAAUCGGGGCAGGGUGAGUCGACCCCUAAGGCGAGGCCGAAAGGCGUAGUCGAUGGGAAACAGGUUAAUAUUCCUGUACUUGGUGUUACUGCGAAGGGGGGACGGAGAAGGCUAUGUUGGCCGGGCGACGGUUGUCCCGGUUUAAGCGUGUAGGCUGGUUUUCCAGGCAAAUCCGGAAAAUCAAGGCUGAGGCGUGAUGACGAGGCACUACGGUGCUGAAGCAACAAAUGCCCUGCUUCCAGGAAAAGCCUCUAAGCAUCAGGUAACAUCAAAUCGUACCCCAAACCGACACAGGUGGUCAGGUAGAGAAUACCAAGGCGCUUGAGAGAACUCGGGUGAAGGAACUAGGCAAAAUGGUGCCGUAACUUCGGGAGAAGGCACGCUGAUAUGUAGGUGAAGCGACUUGCUCGUGGAGCUGAAAUCAGUCGAAGAUACCAGCUGGCUGCAACUGUUUAUUAAAAACACAGCACUGUGCAAACACGAAAGUGGACGUAUACGGUGUGACGCCUGCCCGGUGCCGGAAGGUUAAUUGAUGGGGUCAGCGCAAGCGAAGCUCUUGAUCGAAGCCCCGGUAAACGGCGGCCGUAACUAUAACGGUCCUAAGGUAGCGAAAUUCCUUGUCGGGUAAGUUCCGACCUGCACGAAUGGCGUAAUGAUGGCCAGGCUGUCUCCACCCGAGACUCAGUGAAAUUGAACUCGCUGUGAAGAUGCAGUGUACCCGCGGCAAGACGGAAAGACCCCGUGAACCUUUACUAUAGCUUGACACUGAACAUUGAGCCUUGAUGUGUAGGAUAGGUGGGAGGCUUUGAAGUGUGGACGCCAGUCUGCAUGGAGCCGACCUUGAAAUACCACCCUUUAAUGUUUGAUGUUCUAACGUUGACCCGUGAUCCGGGUUGCGGACAGUGUCUGGUGGGUAGUUUGACUGGGGCGGUCUCCUCCUAAAGAGUAACGGAGGAGCACGAAGGUUGGCUAAUCCUGGUCGGACAUCAGGAGGUUAGUGCAAUGGCAUAAGCCAGCUUGACUGCGAGCGUGACGGCGCGAGCAGGUGCGAAAGCAGGUCAUAGUGAUCCGGUGGUUCUGAAUGGAAGGGCCAUCGCUCAACGGAUAAAAGGUACUCCGGGGAUAACAGGCUGAUACCGCCCAAGAGUUCAUAUCGACGGCGGUGUUUGGCACCUCGAUGUCGGCUCAUCACAUCCUGGGGCUGAAGUAGGUCCCAAGGGUAUGGCUGUUCGCCAUUUAAAGUGGUACGCGAGCUGGGUUUAGAACGUCGUGAGACAGUUCGGUCCCUAUCUGCCGUGGGCGCUGGAGAACUGAGGGGGGCUGCUCCUAGUACGAGAGGACCGGAGUGGACGCAUCACUGGUGUUCGGGUUGUCAUGCCAAUGGCACUGCCCGGUAGCUAAAUGCGGAAGAGAUAAGUGCUGAAAGCAUCUAAGCACGAAACUUGCCCCGAGAUGAGUUCUCCCUGACUCCUUGAGAGUCCUGAAGGAACGUUGAAGACGACGACGUUGAUAGGCCGGGUGUGUAAGCGCAGCGAUGCGUUGAGCUAACCGGUACUAAUGAACCGUGAGGCUUAACCUU